AUACUUACCUGGCAGGGGGAAAACCAUGAUCAAGAAGGUGGUUUCCCCAGGGUGAAACUCUUCCAUUGCACAUUUCGGUUGGGUUGACCCCUGUGUUUUCUCCAAAUGUGGGAAAAUUAACGGCAUAAUCUAUAGUAUAUAAUAUAUAAUAUAUAAU